AACGAACGCUGGCGGCAGGCUUAACACAUGCAAGUCGAGCGAGUCCUUCGGGUCUAGCGGCGGACGGGUGAGUAACGCGUGGGAACGUGCCCUUCUCUACGGAAUAGCCCCGGGAAACUGGGAGUAAUACCGUAUACGCCCUUUGGGGGAAAGAUUUAUCGGAGAAGGAUCGGCCCGCGUUGGAUUAGGUAGUUGGUGGGGUAAUGGCCCACCAAGCCGACGAUCCAUAGCUGGUUUGAGAGGAUGAUCAGCCACACUGGGACUGAGACACGGCCCAGACUCCUACGGGAGGCAGCAGUGGGGAAUCUUAGACAAUGGGGGCAACCCUGAUCUAGCCAUGCCGCGUGAGUGAUGAAGGCCUUAGGGUUGUAAAGCUCUUUCAGCUGGGAAGAUAAUGACGGUACCAGCAGAAGAAGCCCCGGCUAACUCCGUG
rnacentral:rRNA from 1 species